AGAGUUUGAUCCUGGCUCAGGAUGAACGCUAGCGGCAGGCUUAAUACAUGCAAGUCGUGGGGCAGCAUGGGUAGCAAUACCUGAUGGCGACCGGCAAACGGGUGCGGAACACGUACGCAACCUUCCUUUAAGUGGGGGAUAGCCCAGGGAAACUUGGAUUAAUACCCCGUACGAUUGAGAUGUGGCAUCACGUUUCAAUG
rnacentral:rRNA from 1 species